rnacentral:tRNA from 1 species
GAUCCUCGUGGCCGGCGGCGGCGUCGCGGCGCUCGAGGUGCUGCUGGCCCUGCGCGAGCGCGGCCCCGCGCCGUUCCGCACGACGGUGCUCGCC